UCCUAGUUAACCUAGGCAGUCUCAUUAGAGUGCCCAACCGAAUUGCUGGCAACUAAUGAUAAGGGUUGCGCUCGUUGCGGGACUUAACCCAACACCUCACGGCACGAGCUGACGACAGCCAUGCAGCACCUAUGUAGCGGCCCUUACGAGAGACUCCCUUUCAGGAGCUGUCCCCUACAUUUCGAGCCUGGGUAAGGUUCUUCGCGUUGCAUCGAAUUAAACCACAUGCUCCACUGCUUGUGCGGGCCCCCGUCAAUUCUUUUGAGUUUCACCCUUGCGAGCGUACUCCUCAGGCGGUAUACUUAUCGCGUUAGCUACGACACAGUCGGGGUUGAGUCCAACUACAUCAAGUAUACAUCGUUUACGGCAAGGACUAC
rnacentral:misc_RNA from 1 species